rnacentral:lncRNA from 1 species
CAUAUAUUUCAUUUAAUUUAAAGGUUGGGUGAGCAAACUAUUUCCAGAAAAACAAGCACGGAUUCAAUCUCAACUAGGGAGAAAUAUGCAGAUAAUCACAAUUCAUUUUAGCUGUUGUAACUCAAUUUCAAAAGUGCUUUUAGGAAUUAUCAUUAAUGCUUCACAGUUGUUUAAACCUAUUCACUUUUUAUUCUCCUGGCGCGACUAGAAUCUAGCGAAUCACCGGAGGUUUUUGAGACUUGAAGUUAAAUCAAAGCUCGCUUAAGAAGCUAGCAGAAAAAAGGAUGCUGGAACAUAGCAGAUGAUAUGCAACUUCUUGAAUAUAGGGUCUAUUUGACAAUCAAAACUGGUUCACUCACAAAGUUGAUGUUUUAUGUGCGUCACGUUCUACAUCACAUGUUCACUAACAGAGCCCGCCGCAAAGCGGCGGGGCUUAAACCUAGUUAAAAUAAAUAAAAGAACUCACUGGAGUUCUUGUCGGGUGGAGAUGGAUGCCUGGCUUCGCCCUUCAUCGCAAGAACCACCAUCUCCGUCGUCAUCAUCACGCCGCCACAAACCCACCGGAAUCUCCCACCGUUUCAUCGUCACAUCAUCACUAUCACCGACAGCAGCGGCACCUCAUCAAUGCAGACGCCUCUUUCUCUCCCUCGGUUCCCCUCUCUUUCACUCGCUUCCCUGAUGUCGCGCCGCUGUGCGCCACCCUCCUCCGACCUCCGAUCUCCGAUUCUCUCUCCCCGAGUCACACCCUAACCGGGUGUGUGAUUUAGCAGGUUUAAUCGGAGAGGAAGGGGGUGUCUUGUCGGUUAACCAAGCCACCGAACCACCGGCAGCCGGCCGGCCUUCUGUCGAGGGGGACGGGUGACCGAGAGGGGUGUUUGGGCUUGUGGAAGGGUGUGUAAUUGAGAGAUUGAGAGUAGAUCAAGGGUUUGUUGUUUUUUUUUUCUUUGAAGAUCAUGUUGCAGACAAUGAGUUGAGAGGGAAAGUAGGAUAUAGCGGCUGACAACAAAUGAAAAUUAGGGUGAUCUCUAGUCUUAAAU